rnacentral:rRNA from 1 species
ACUUGCCUCUUGGACUGGGACAACUGUUGGAAACGACAGCUAAUACCGGAUAUUAUGAGAUUCUCGCAUGAGAAAUUUAUGAAAGCUAUAUGCGCCAAGAGAGAGCCUUGCGUUCCAUUAGCUAGUUGGUGGGGUAACGGCCCACCAAGGCGACGAUGGAUAGCCGGCCUGAGAGGGUGAACGGCCACAAGGGGACUGAGACACGGCCCUUACUCCUACGGGAGGCAGCAGUGGGGAAUAUUGGACAAUGGGCCACAAGCCUGAUCCAGCAAUUCUGUGUGCACGAUGAAGGUCUUCGGAUUGUAAAGUGCUUUCAGUUGGGAAGAAGAAAGUGACGGUACCAACAGAAGAAGCGACGGCUAAAUACGUGCCAGCAGCCGCGGUAAUACGUAUGUCGCAAGCGUUAUCCGGAUUUAUUGGGCGUAAAGCGCGUCUAGGCGGAAAAAUAAGUCUGAUGUUAAAAUGCGGGGCUCAACUCCGUAUUGCGUUGGAAACUGUUUUUCUAGAGUACUGGAGAGGUGGGCGGAACUACAAGUGUAGAGGUGAAAUUCGUAGAUAUUUGUAGGAAUGCCGAUGGAGAAGUCAGCUCACUGGACAGAUACUGACGCUGAAGCGCGAAAGCGUG